rnacentral:rRNA from 1 species
GAUGAACGCUGGCGGCGUGCCUAAUACAUGCAAGUCGAGCGAACAGACGAGGAGCUUGCUCCUCUGACGUUAGCGGCGGACGGGUGAGUAACACGUGGAUAACCUACCUAUAAGACUGGGAUAACUUCGGGAAACCGGAGCUACUACCGGCUAAUAUAUUGAACCGCAUGGUUCAAUAGUGAAAGACGGUUUUGCUGUCACUUAUAGAUGGAUCCGCGCCGGAUUAGCUAGUUGGUAAGGUAACGGCUUACCAAGGCAACGAUGCGUAGCCGACCUGAGAGGGUGAUCGGCCACACUGGAACUGAGACACGGUCCAGACUCCUACGGGAGGCAGCAGUAGGGAAUCUUCCGCAAAGGGCGAAAGCCUGGCGGAGCAACGCCGCGUGAGUGAUGAAGGUCUUCGGAUUGUAAAACUCUGUUAUUAGGGAAGAACAAAUGUGUAAGUAUCUAUGCACGUCUUGACGGUACCUAAACAGAAAGCCACGGCUAACUACGUG